UACGUAGGGGGCAAGCGUUGUCCGGAAUCAUUGGGCGUAAAGCGUGCGCAGGCGGUUCGCUGUGUCCUGUGUGAAAGCCCCGGGCUUAACCUGGGAAUGGCAUGGGAAACUGGCGGGCUGGAGUGUGGCAGAGGGGGGUGGAAUUCCGCGUGUAGCAGUGAAAUGCGUAGAGAUGCGGAGGAACACCGAUGGCGAAGGCAGCCCCCCGGGCUAACACUGACGCUCAGGCACGAAAGCGUGGGGAGCAAACAGG
rnacentral:rRNA from 1 species